AAUAUCUCAAAAAGUUUGUGCUUUUUUGGCAUAAGAUUUUUUGGACAUUGGGAGUUGCCGGCUGCUGAUAAAAGUGGUGGGCUCUUCUGAAAAGCAUUAGUUGAGGAGCUUUGCACUCUAUUGGUGUGAUAGACUAUCUAUGCCAGGAGAUGCUUCAUGAUCCUCUGCCAUCUAACUGUCUUUAUUAGACAACAUGAUAA
rnacentral:misc_RNA from 1 species